GAUGAACGCUAGCGACAGGCCUAACACAUGCAAGUCGAGGGGCAACAGGGAACAAGCUUGCUUGUUCUACUGGCGACCGGCGCACGGGUGAGUAACACGUAUGCAACCUGCCCGUCACAGGGGGAUAACCGGGGGAAACCCCGCCUAAUACCCCAUAUUAUAUAGUUAUUGCAUGAUGAUUAUAUGAAAACCUUGGUGGUGACGGAUGGGCAUGCGGUGCAUUAGCUAGUUGGUGAGGUAACGGCUCACCAAGGCGACGAUGCAUAGGGGUUCUGAGAGGAAGGUCCCCCACACUGGUACUGAGACACGGACCAG
rnacentral:rRNA from 1 species